GAGUGGGAGCAUCUGAGAAGCCUGCCCAUUUAUUAAGGGCAAUCUUGUCCUUCUGAAAUAAAGUCCACGUCUCGCCUCUAGAAUAUUUGGGAUUAUUUUAGGCUCCACAAAUGCCCCUACAAAAAUCCGAAGUUGCUUAGGCUUGUAGAAUUGCUUCCCAAUUUGAACUUGAUCUUCUUUCUUGGUUUGGAAGAUAGACUUCUUCUAGGAAAAGGAAAAUAAUUGCCCCCAAUACCUAUUUAAUUCUGCCUUAAGCAGGGGAUUAAAUAAAUUUGGAGAACAAUAAUUAUUCCAACAAGGAAGAGAAACCAGAGGAAAUUUUUAUUCCCCAUCCCCUAGCAUUCUUCUUCUCUUGCCAUUGCAAAGAGUCGUCUCUUGUUAUAGUUAUUCUUCUCCGUGCCACACCAAGGUAAGAAACAUUUGAAUUUUCUUCUUCUUGAAUUUUUUUGGGAGUCUUGAGACUUGAAAAAUUGGCUUGGCGGGG
rnacentral:lncRNA from 1 species